AUAACAAUACAGGACUCUUUCGAGGCCCUGUAGUUGGAAUGAGUACACUUUAAAUCCUUUAACCAGGAUCUAUUGGAGGGCAAGUCUGGUGCAGAGCAACUGACCCAUGUGUGCUGCAGCUGAAA